rnacentral:rRNA from 1 species
CGGGUGAGUAACACGUGGGCAAUCUGCCCUGCACUCUGGGACAAGCCCUGGAAACGGGGUCUAAUACCGGAUAUGACCACCGGCCGCAUGGUCUGGUGGUGGAAAGCUCCGGCGGUGCAGGAUGAGCCCGCGGCCUAUCAGCUUGUUGGUGGGGUGAUGGCCUACCAAGGCGACGACGGGUAGCCGGCCUGAGAGGGCGACCGGCCACACUGGGACUGAGACACGGCCAAGACUCCUACGGGAGGCAGCAGUGGGGAAUAUUGCACAAUGGGCGCAAGCCUGAUGCAGCGACGCCGCGUGAGGGAUGACGGCCUUCGGGUUGUAAACCUCUUUCAGCAGGGAAGAAGCGCAAGUGACGGUACCUGCAGAAGAAGCACCGGCUAACUACGUGCCAGCAGCCGCGGUAAUACGUAGGGUGCGAGCGUUGUCCGGAAUUAUUGGGCGUAAAGAGCUCGUAGGCGGCUUGUCGCGUCGGAUGUGAAAGCCCGGGGCUUAACCCCGGGUCUGCAUUCGAUACGGGCAGGCUGGAGUUCGGCAGGGGAGAUUGGAAUUCCUGGUGUAGCGGUGAAAUGCGCAGAUAUCAGGAGGAACACCGGUGGCGAAGGCGGAUCUCUGGGCCGAUACUGACGCUGAGGAGCGAAAGCGUGGGGAGCGAACAGGAUUAGAUACCCUGGUAGUCCACGCCGUAAACGUUGGGCACUAGGUGUGGGCGGCAUUCCACGUCGUCCGUGCCGCAGCUAACGCAUUAAGUGCCCCGCCUGGGGAGUACGGCCGCAAGGCUAAAACUCAAAGGAAUUGACGGGGGCCCGCA